GGAAAACUGAUAAUUUUAUUUUAUCAUUUGUUGGGCUAAAGUACUGGUUCAGAAUCCUUAAUUUGAGAAGUAUAUCAUGUGUUGCGUAAGUAUUGUUAUGGAUUCACUGAUUUAAUACAUGAUAAAUAAUAUUUGUCAUGGAAAUUACAUAAUUUUCUAAACUAUUAUAUAUAUAUCGUUGGGGGUUUUCUGUUACUUAGACUAGAGUGAGAUUUAAAUGAAGGCUUACAGAUUCAUCAAACAAAAUUUGGCAUAAAAUGCAU
rnacentral:misc_RNA from 1 species